GACGCAGGGCGUGGUUACCUAGGACCGGGAGGAGGGGACGCGGGGUGUGGUUACCUAGGACGGGGAGGAGGGGAUUGGGAGGGUUGAUUGUCUCAGGGUAGGGAUGUCUUUUCUGGGGGAAUGACCGGACUGUUCCACAUGGACUGUGGUGACGGCUGCACAGUUCUGGGAAUGUGCCGAAACGCAUUCAGUUACAUCCUAACAGGUGAACUGUACGGAGUGUGAUUUAUGUAUCAAGCAAGGUAAUUUUUUUAAGUUAAAAGAAAAAGAAAAUGGCAUUUGAGAUGGGCUUUGGAAAUUGGGCUGCAGGUCCCCAUUACCGGAACCGUCUGAGCGCUGAGCGCAGACCCUUGCCGCGGCCCGCCGCACACUACUGCCAGGGCAGGGCUGGGACGUGGCGACUGCCAUCAAGCUUCGAUGUCACAGCUACUUCUAAGGCCCAGGUUUUCCUUUGUCCAUUCCUCACGGCCAGGCCCGGACGAGCUGGCACCCGCCCACCCGGACUACGAGCCCUCCCCGGUCACGCCGCGAGCUGCGCGUCCAGUCUGCCGCUGCACUGACGGGCCUGCCACGUGGCCGGCAUCGCCCCCACCCUGUGCACCGACCCGACCACCGCAGAGGCUCCGCUCAGCCUGCGCGGGUGUCCGGAGGGGGUGGAGUGUCGGGCUCCAAGCGGACCCUGCCACGGCGGGGUCUGGAGAGCACUCCGCUGUCCCGCCUCCUUGGAGCGGCCCCUUCCCCGCGUCUCCGCGAAGGAGAGCGAGGCUGAGUCCGGGAGGAAGCGCCGGCCUCCGCGCUCUCCUGGAUCACCCUACCUGAGCUGUCGCUGGAUUGGGAGCCUGAAUUUCCUGAUUAAUUUUCAAGAAGCUGCAUCCAAGUAUUUAGGAUGAGCCAACAGGAAGAAAUAUUCAGAAGCAAAUCCCCCAGACCUGCGGGCGCGGUGGAAAGGCAGGUCCCACCCGCGGCCGGCGCGGCCGGCUCUGCGUUUCUCACGGGCCAGCAAGGCCGGCGCAGACAGCAGGUUUCCAGCCCAGAUUCCUGGCGUUUCCUUAAGAUAACUCGGGCCGGCCUGGGGGCUGUUCAAAGGGGUUUUUGCAUAAGAUUUCUCUUAAAAAAGGGAUUUUCCUGCUUUGAAUAAAAGUUUGAAAACCACAGCCCUAAAUAUAACAUCCUAUAUAUUUGGAGGUGCUUACGAGAAUGUGUGGCAAGAAAGUUGUGUCCCCAAAGAGAACUUUUUGUAUAUACUUUGCUGACUCAGGGGAAUCAACGCUGUAUUUGGACAGCUGGCCCCACAGUGACCUCCCUGCUACCUAAUGGAAAAUGUGGAAGGUACGCUCCUUGGAACUGGUUGUAUUUACAUAGCCUCUGCGGUCUCCUUCUCUCUCCUCCCAGCCCCACGUCUCUCCCUCCCAUAGCUGUUUGUAGAAAAAAGGAUACAUGCUUCUGGAAUUCAUCAGUUCCAGCUGUUUA